GGAGUUGUGCCUGAAGUAUAAGGGCCACUUUGAUAGAGUGAACCAUGAGGGUUAGAUCCCCUCCAGCUCCU
rnacentral:tRNA from 1 species